GGAACAGGGGGCUAUUUGGGAUGCCUCCAUAGUCUUCUCCAUGUUUUUUUUUUGUAUCCUUUGCAUAAUGACCGACAAAAAAACAAAGAAGUGCCUGUUGGCUUGUGCACUGACCAGAGUUUUGCAAGGGAAAUGUGACCCUCCGGCUUGGCAUGCAAACUCACCGCUACGUUUAGAUGUACAUUUUCACGUGGGCAUUAUCGUUGAGGAUCAGUCAGAGAACAUAGUUUUCAUUCUUUGACGGUUCAGCAGAACGCGUGCCGCUUUUUUCCGUGACCGUGGCUAUAGGUGUUAACACCAAGAAACGGCCGAUACAAACACCAUGGAGUUGAAGAGUUGGGUGGCUUUGGGUUCCCUGGUCAUUCUUCUCUGGAAUCCUACAUGAACCCAAAAGAGUUGUACCUGGCUGGGACCCAAAAUCAACCAAUCAAAUGUAUUUUAGGAAGCCCUUUCUACAUCAGCAGAUGUCACCAAGUGCUUUACAGAAAUCCAGUCUAACACCCCCAAAGAACAAACAAUGCAGAGUAGAAGCACUGUGGUUAGGAAAAACUCCCUAGAAAGGCAGGAACCUAGGAAGAAACCUAGAGAGGAACCAGGCUCUGACGGGUGGCCAGUCCUCUUCUGGCUGUGCUGGGUGGAGAUUAUAAGAGUACAUGGCCAUUAAGGCCAGAUUGUUCUUCAAGAUGUUCAUAGAUGACCAACAGGAUCAGAUAAUAAUAACCACCCAGUGGUUGUAG
ensembl:lncRNA